GACGAACCGAGCGAACGUUGUUCGGAAUCACUGGGCUUAAAGGGCGCGUAGGCGGGUGAUCAAGUCCGGGGUGAAAUCCUCCAGCUCAACUGGAGAACUGCCUCGGAUACUGGGUGUCUCGAGGGUGGUAGGGGUAUGCGGAACUAUCGGUGGAGCGGUGAAAUGCGUUGAUAUCGAUAGGAACACCAGUGGCGAAGGCGACUACCUGGCCUGUUCUUGACGCUGAGGCGCGAAAGCUAGGGGAGCAAACGGG
rnacentral:rRNA from 1 species